rnacentral:lncRNA from 1 species
UCACGUUUUGGCCAUGACCUCCUGUGAUGUCGACGCUUAAGGGAGCUUUAAUGGGGUAGGGGUGUUGAGAGAUUGCACACUCUGGCACGAAAUCAGUUUGUCGGUUAAUGAUGCAAGGUCUCUUCCUGAUGAGGUGCAGCAGAACAUUUGGUACUGAACAGUACUGUCUCUUUGGCAAUGCAUGUUGACCAUUAACUGCUAAAUGCAAGUCCCCACAACAACACACCAGACACGGGUGACAUAUUGGCAAAUUUCCUGCAUAGUUUCUUUCAAGGAAACUAUGGUCCUGCAGAAUUUCGCAGAAUUUAUGCGAUUUUAUUUAUGAUGGGGAAAAUCUCAGGAAAUGUGUGGAUUAGAGUG